AGUGUUCGGAUCGCGGCGACGUGGGCGGUUCGCCGCCCCCGACGUCGCGAGAAGUCCAUUGAACCUUAUCAUUUAGAGGAAGGAGAAGUCGUAACAAGGUUUCCGUAGGUGAACCUGCGGAAGGAUCAUUG
rfam:Hordeum vulgare subsp. vulgare, WGS project CAJW01000000 data, contig: morex_contig_504743